AAACCAAAAUAAAUCACUUUUUUCUUCUUUUUUUCUUUUAGAUGCUGGAAUUGCCUCUCUGGCUGUGUGCUGAGCUCUGGCUGCAGGGGACUGUCAGGCCUUGGUGGCUGUGAGUUCCUGUUCUUCUCCCUGGGAAACUGGAAAGAGUUAUUCAUUAGAUUGCAGAAAUGUAAUUUUGAGGGGACCCAGCAACUGUUUGUGUAGGAAAAGCCCGCAAUUCCAUGCCGAAUUCCUGCUGGAACAGCCUCCCAGUGCCUCCUGGAGCCCGGCUGUUCCCCCGCAGAGCUGCCGCUCUAACGCCAGGUUUGCCAGGAAGCAGCCACGGUUCCAGGUUUGCUCAGCGGGAUCGGGACAAGGACAGGUUGAUAUUCCACAGACUUUGCUGUUUAUAACCCUCCUCCCCCAGCCCCGCUGGUGUCCCUGGGGGGACUUGAGCGAGCUCCCUGGAAUUGGGCCGGUUUUCCGCCCGGGCCGGGCUCCAGGGGAUGCAGCCCCUGAGCACGGGCGAGGACGUCUGUCCGGGCGGG